rnacentral:rRNA from 1 species
CGCAGCAACGCCGCGUGGGGAAGACGGCUUUCGGGUUGUAAACCCCUUUCAGGAGGGACGAAGGCUCACCGGUGAAUAGCCGUGUGGGUUGACGGUACCUCCAGAAGAAGCUCCGGCUAACUACGUGCCAGCAGCCGCGGUAAUACGUAGGGAGCGAGCGUUGUCCGGAAUCAUUGGGCGUAAAGCGCGCGUAGGCGGCCUCGUAAGUCCGUUGUGAAAGUCAAAGGCUCAACCUUUGAAAGCCGAUGGAUACUGCGAGGCUAGAGUCCGGAAGAGGCGAGUGGAAUUCCUGGUGUAGCGGUGGAAUGCGCAGAUAUCAGGAGGAACACCAAUAGCGAAGGCAGCUCGCUGGGACGGUACUGACGCUAAGGCGCGAAAGCGUGGGGAGCGAACAGGAUUAGAUACCCUGGUAGUCCACGCCGUAAACGAUGGGCACUAGGUGUGGGAGGUGUCGACUCCUCCCGUGCCGUCGCUAACGCACUAAGUGCCCCGCCUGGGGAGUACGGCCGCAAGGCUA